rnacentral:rRNA from 1 species
UACGUAGGGUGCAAGCGUUAAUCGGAAUUACUGGGCGUAAAGCGUGCGCAGGCGGCUUUGCAAGACAGAUGUGAAAUCCCCCGGGCUUAACCUGGGAACUGCAUUUUGUGACUGCAUGGCUGGAGUGCGGCAGAGGGGGAUGGAAUUCCGCGUGUAGCAGUGAAAUGCGUAGAUAUGCGGAGGAACACCGAUGGCGAAGGCAAUCCCCUGGGCCUGCACUGACGCUCAUGCACGAAAGCG